rnacentral:rRNA from 1 species
UAGCGUUUGAUCAUGGCUCAGAAUGAACGCUGGCGGCAUGCCUUACACAUGCAAGUCGAACGGCAGCAUGACCUAGCUNNNNAGGUUGAUGGCGAGUGGCGAACGGGUGAGUAAUGCAUCGGAACGUGCCUUUUAGUGGGGGAUAACGUAGCGAAAGUUACGCUAAUACCGCAUAUUCUCCGAGGAGGAAAGCAGGGGACCUUCGGGCCUUGCGCUAGAAGAGCGGCCGAUGUCGGAUUAGCUAGUUGGUGAGGUAAAGGCUCACCAAGGCAACGAUCCGUAGCGGGUCUGAGAGGAUGAUCCGCCACACUGGGACUGAGACACGGCCCAGACUCCUACGGGAGGCAGCAGUGGGGAAUUUUGGACAAUGGGCGAAAGCCUGAUCCAGCCAUGCCGCGUGAGUGAAGAAGGCCUUCGGGUUGUAAAGCUCUUUCGGCCGGGACGAAAUCGCAUUCUCUAAUACAGGAUGUGGAUGACGGUACCGGAAUAAGAAGCACCGGCUAACUACGUGCCAGCAGCCGCGGUAAUACGUAGGGUGCGAGCGUUAUUCGGAAUUACUGGGCGUAAAGCGUGCGCAGGCGGUUGUGUAAGACAGACGUGAAAUCCCCGGGCUCAACCUGGGAACUGCGUUUGUGACUGCACGGCUAGAGUACGGCAGAGGGGGGUGGAAUUCCACGUGUAGCAGUGAAAUGCGUAGAGAUGUGGAGGAACACCGAUGGCGAAGGCAGCCCCCUGGGCCAGUACUGACGCUCAUGCA